GUGAUGCCAAUACUUCUGGGGAGCACUAUCAGAGAACCACUGCCUGACAAAAGGGGUUUACUUUAGACCUGCAAAGAACCUCCUCAUGGUGGGACAGUGAGUCACAGUAUGUGGCAGCCUUGAGAGGAUGGGAUAGUGCACUUAACCACUGUGGUCUUCCUUGCAGAAAUAUACUCACCUGACAGAGGAGCCUGGUGGGCUGCCGUCUAUGGGGUGGCACAGAGUCGGACACGACUGAAGCAACUUAGCAGCAGCAGCAGCAGCAGUGUAUCACCCAGGUGGCGCUAGUGGUAGAGAAACUGCCUGCCAGUGCAGGAGAGUUCCAAGACAAUGUGCUCAAGGUGGUGGUUGAAAUGAAGGGCGGUCAGAGUCCUUUCCCCAGACAAUAUUUUGCUGCUGGUCCCCUCAGCCUUUUGGAUGCUUAUUGUUUACAGUUCCUGCCAUGGUAUCUGACGAGGUUCCAGACAAUAAGUAUCAACCAUACCUGGUAACAUGGAUACAAAGAUGAAAAAGAGAUGGUAGGACUGCCCUCGAGAAAUGUAGAGGAGAUAAACACCCAAGCAAACAAGCCAACAAAAUCCCAAACAGCCCCCAGUAAAGGCCAAUAGAAAGAGCUCCAGUGAGUAAGGGACUCGCCUUGCCCUUGGGGAGGGUAGACAGUAGAUGACUCCUUUCCUCUCUCAUUUAGUUUUCCUCCAGCUACUUCCCUGAUUUCUUCUACUUACAACUAACAAGCUUAAAUGGAAGAGAUUUGAAGUUCUGUGCAAGGUGCUGGGAGGUUUAGAAGGGCAGUAUUCUGUUCACCUGGCAGGAAUCUUGGGUUUCCUCUGAAAGCUCCUCUGGCAGGCUUGCCUGGCUGUGCGUCCAUGUCUACCGCCAAAACAAACAUGUUGCAGGGGUGUUGUUCAUGCAUUGCCCUCGAAAACUCUUGCUGUCACGGGAUCACCCUCUUCCUGCUGAUGGAUGGUCAUUAUCUGACUCUGUUGCCAUGGAGAGGGAUGGACUCAGGUGUGUUUUUCAAGCCUGCAUAUUCCCACUGGGGCUGCAACAAGGAUGCUUCUGUACGUCAUGUUUGGCAAGCCUGUGGCAGGCUGUGGCCAGGCUUUUCCUGCAGGUCAAACCUAAUCAACUGAUCAGCUGCAGAUCAUAUCAAGACCUCUGCUUGAUACGUUAUUAGUGACAGACAUGCUUCCAUAAUGAAUAUCAUGAUGUCAUUUGACCAUAACGUUGUUGAGGUGGGGAAAGAAAACACUCCAGUCAUCAGACUUGGGAUGAGAAGGGCUUGUGUUCACAGAAACACAACUUCACGUCACUGUUUCUCACGAAGGACUGUUUUGUUCUUGAAGACUGCUGCUCAUCCUCUGAUGUUGAUUUCCUAUGUUACAACGACCUCGAUUCGUAUGCCCUGGCAAGCAGCACAAGCACUGUUUCCUGUUUCUGAACUUGUAGACAACCAUCCAUACGUCUCAUGGUUGUCAAUUCAACCAGAUAACUGUGGCACCUCCUUGAUGCUUUUUUAAAGGACCUUGGAAAUGAAGUUUUUAAUUUUUUUGGAUAGGGUAUUCUUAAUUCAUUUGGCUAAAUUUUCAUAUGACUAAUAAUCUAAAAUGAAAGUAAGUAUAAACUUGUGUCCCUGUU
ensembl:lncRNA